GCGCGAAAGCGUGACGGUGCGACGCCGCGUGCGGGAUGAAGGCCUUCGGGUUGUAAACCGCUGUCAGGGUCUAGGAAACCGCCGACGUGAAUAGCGGCGGCGCUGACCAGGCCCAAAGGAAGUGCAGGCUAACCUCGUGCCAGCAGCCGCGGUAAGACGAGGUGCACAAGCGUUGUUCGGAAUCACUGGGCAUAAAGAGUGCGUAGGCGGUCUGGUAAGUCGGGUGUGAAAGCCCUCGGCUCAACCGGGGAAUUGCUUCCGAUACUGCCAGACUUGAGAGCGAAAGGGGCAAGCGGAAUUCCAGGUGUAGCGGUGGAAUGCGUAGAUAUCUGGGAGAACGCCGAAGGCGAAGGCAGCUUGCUGGGUCGCAUCUGACGCUGAGGCACGAAAGCUAGGGGAGCGAACAGGAUUAGAUACCCUGGUAGUCCUAGCUGUUAACGAUGGGCACUUUGCUUUGGGGGACCUGAUUCCCUCAGGGCCGGAGCUAACGCGUUAAGUGCCCCGCCUGGGGAGUAUGGUCGCAAGGCUAAAACUCAAAGGAAUUGACGGGGGCUCACACAAGCGGUGGAGCAUGUUGUUCAAUUCGAAGCAACGCGAAGAACCUUACCUGGGCUCGACAUGCUAGUGGUACAAACCCGAAAGGGGGCGGACCUCUUAACCGAGGAGCUAGCACAGGUGCUGCAUGGCUGUCGUCAGCUCGUGUCGUGAGACGUUGGGUUAAGUCCCGUAACGAACGAAACCCUUGUC
rnacentral:rRNA from 1 species